rnacentral:rRNA from 1 species
ACGAACGCUGGCGGCUGCUUAACACAUGCAAGUCGAACGGAGUGGCGAACGGGUGAGUAACGCGUGAGCAACCUGCCUAUGACAGUGGGAUAGCCUCGGGAAACCGGGCUUAAUCCCGCAUAGUCAUAGAUGGGCUCGCGUCUGAUUAGCUAGUUGGUGAGAUAACAGCCCAACAAGGCGACGAUCAGUCGCCGGUCGGAGAGGCUGAACGGCGACAUUGGAACGGAGAAACGGUCCAAACUCCUACGUGAGGCAGCAGUGGGGAAUAUUGCACAAUGGGGGAAACCCGGAUGCAGCGACGCCGCGUGAACGAAGAAGGUAGUCGUAUCGUAAAGUUCUGUCCUAUGGGAAGCAUUACCAUAGAAGAAAGCUCCGGCUAAAUACGUGCCAGCAGCCGCGGUAAUAC